GCAAGUCGAGCGAGAAGCCAUCUUCGGGCGGUGGAGAGCGGCGAACGGGUGAGUAACGCGUAGGUAUCUACCUAGUAGUGGGGAAUAACCAUUGGAAACGAUGGCUAAAACCGCAUACGCCCUGAGGGGGAAAACUGAGGUGCUAUUAGAGGAGCCUGCGUUAGAUUAGCUAGUUGGUGAGGUAAUGGCUCACCAAGGCGACGAUCCGUAGCUGGUCUGAGAGGAUGAUC
rnacentral:rRNA from 1 species